AGAAAGAGAGAGAGGAGAGAGAGAGUAAAUUAUACUGGACAGUACGACCCAGAGAAAGAGAGAGAGAGAGAGAGAGGAAAGAGAGAGAAGAAAGAGAGAGAGAGAGGAAAGAGAGAGAGAGACCUAAAUGAUGUUCUGACUUUUAUCUCUAAUAAUUUACUGUCACCCUUAAAAGGCAAAACCCACUGAAUAACGGAUGAAACGUUUUCUUGAAGCAAAAUGUCAGAUUAUUAUUGUCAGUUAAAGUAAUACUGCAGACAAAAAUAAAGAGAUUUGUUUUUCUCUCCCCUAACUUCCCAUCUUAAACCACUUUUCUGCUAACUAGACCCUAGCCUCCUUGUCCCCAACCCCUACAAUCUUGUUCCUUACACCCUAGUCCUCUUCACCCUUAUGCCCUAUGCCCUUGCCCUCAACACUCCCAACCCCAGCACUAGUCCUGGCAGCGGAGAAAGGCAAGACAGAUACUGAAUACAACAGCUUGAAACCGUCAAACUAGCUCUUAAAUCAGACUUGUUUCUCAAACAUCACAUUUCGAAGUUGUUGCAAAAGUAACAUUUCAAAAUGUUUAAGGUUAAGUUUAGGAAUUAACUCUGAAAAUGUUAAGUUUGGCAUUAACUCGAAAUUGUUCAGGGAAGGGUUUAGAUUUGGGAUAGGCUUAAAACAAAAAUCUCAAAAAGUGCUUUAGAUCGUUGGAUUUGAACUUGCAUCCGUUGGAAUCAUGCCCAUCUGCCAUCCCUGUCCACAUGCCCAUCUGCCAUCCCUGUCCACAUGCCCAUCUGCCAUCCCUGUCCACAUGCCCAUCUGCCAUCCCUGUCCACAUGCCCAUCUGCCAUCCCUGUCCACAUGCCCAUCUGCCAUCCCUGUCCACAACGCCCAUCUGCCAUUCCUGUCCACAACGCCCAUCUGCUAUCCCUGUCCACAAUAUCCAUCUGCCAUCCCUGUCCACAUCACCCAUCUGCCAUCCCUGUCCACAUCUGCCAUCCCUGUCCACAACGCCCAUCUGCCGUCCCUGUCCACAACGCCCAUCUGCCAUCCCUGUCCAAAACACCAAUCUGCCAUCCCUGUCCACAACGCCCAUCUGCCAUCCCUGUCCAAAACGCCCAUCUGCCAUCCCUGUCCACAUUCCCAUCUGCCAUCCCUGUCCACAUGCCCAUC
ensembl:lncRNA